rnacentral:tmRNA from 1 species
GGGGGCGAAUUGGAAUCGACCGGAUGAGUUGAAGAUUUUGGUGGCAUGUCGUGGUUGGUCGAGAGGCCACGUUAAUACUCGAUCAAAAAAAGUAACUGCAGAGAAUACUCUCGCACUGGCGGCCUAGUUUAGGCUUCCCAGGCACCCGGGGCCCGUCGGAGGCGCUGGAGUGCCUGUCGCAAUUCCGAAUCGCCAUGACCCGUGUCUCGCACGGUCAUGGUUAAAAAAGCUCGAGGCUGGCGCACCGCACCGAUGCCAACGACGAACGUGGUGGGCGAGACAAAUAAAAGUUGGCUAAGCAUGUAGAGGCCGGAUCGGAAGCAUCACGGGACGCGGGUUCAAUUCCCGCCGCCUCCAUCA